GGGUCGGUAGUGCCAACGGGAGAACCCAGGUGUGCAACACCUGAAAUACGGGUUCGAAUCCCGUCCGAUCCA
rnacentral:tRNA from 1 species